rnacentral:rRNA from 1 species
AGAGUUUGAUCCUGGCUCAGGAUGAACGCUAGCGGCAGGCUUAACACAUGCAAGUCGAGGGGUAACAGGGAAAAGCUUGCUUUUCCGCUGACGACCGGCGAACGGGUGCGUAACGCGUAUAGAACCUACCUUUUACUGAGGGAUAGCCUUUAGAAAUGAAGAUUAAUACCUCAUAGUAUUUUAGAUUGGCAUCGAUUUAAAAUUAAAGAUUUAUUGGUAAAAGAUGGCUAUGCGUCCUAUUAGUUAGUUGGUGAGGUAACGGCUCACCAAGACAGCGAUAGGUAGGGGUCCUGAGAGGGAGAUCCCCCACACUGGUACUGAGACACGGACCAGACUCCUACGGGAGGCAGCAGUGAGGAAUAUUGGACAAUGGGCGAGAGCCUGAUCCAGCCAUGCCGCGUGCAGGAAGAAUGCCCUAUGGGUUGUAAACUGCUUUUAUACGGGAAGAAACACCCCCUCGUGAGGGGGCUUGACGGUACCGUAAGAAUAAGCACCGGCUAACUCCGUGCCAGCAGCCGCGGUAAUACGGAGGGUGCAAGCGUUAUCCGGAAUCAUUGGGUUUAAAGGGUCCGCAGGCGGUCAAUUAAGUCAGAGGUGAAAUCCCAUAGCUUAACUAUGGAACUGCCUUUGAUACUGGUUGACUUGAGUAAUACGGAAGUAGAUAGAAUGUGUAGUGUAGCGGUGAAAUGCAUAGAUAUUACACAGAAUACCGAUUGCGAAGGCAGUCUACUACGUAUAUACUGACGCUCAUGGACGAAAGCGUGGGGAGCGAACGGGAUUAGAUACCCCGGUAGUCCACGCCGUAAACGAUGGACACUAGUUGUUGGGAUUUAUCUCAGUGACUAAGCGAAAGUGAUAAGUGUCCCACCUGGGGAGUACGGUCGCAAGAUUGAAACUCAAAGGAAUUGACGG